rnacentral:rRNA from 1 species
AAACCAACAGGGAUUGCCCCAGUAACGGCGAGUGAAGCGGCAAAAGCUCAAUUUUGAAAUCCCCCCGGGGAGUUGUAAUUUGAAGACUAGGGGAUUUGGCCCAAACCUGCGCAAGUCCAUUGGAACAUGGCGCCCAAGAGGGUGAGAGCCCCGUCGCGCAGGCCGCAGCCUUGACAUCCCCCCGUCAAAGAGUCGAGUUGUUUGGGAAUGCAGCUCAAAGUGGGUGGUAAAUUCCAUCUAAAGCUAAAUAUUGGCGAGAGACCGAUAGCGAACAAGUACAGUGAUGGAAAGAUGAAAAGCACUUUGAAAAGAGAGUGAAACAGUACGUGAAAUUGUUGAAAGGGAAGGGCUUGCAAGCAGACACGAGUUCGCUCGGGCCAGCAUCAAUUUCGCGAGGUGGACAACACGCCAGGAAUGUGGCAGGCUCCGGCCUGUGUUAUAGCCUGCGCGCCAUACACCUCCGCGAGAUUGAGGCCUGCUCCAAAAGGAUGCGGGGAAUUUCGGCUUUUUUU